CAGUAGCCGCGGUAAUACGUAGGGUGCAAGCGUUAAUCGGAAUUACUGGGCGUAAAGCGUGCGCAGGCGGUUAUAUAAGACAGAUGUGAAAUCCCCGGGCUCAACCUGGGAACUGCAUUUGUGACUGUAUAGCUAGAGUACGGCAGAGGGGGAUGGAAUUCCGCGUGUAGCAGUGAAAUGCGUAGAUAUGCGGAGGAACACCGAUGGCGAAGGCAAUCCCCUGGGCCUGUACUGACGCUUAUGCACGAAAGCGUGGGGAGCAAACAGGAUUAGAUACCCGCGUAGUCCCUGUCUCUUAUAC
rnacentral:rRNA from 1 species